rnacentral:rRNA from 1 species
GACAGCAGCCGCCGCGGGAAUACAGAGGGUGCAAGCGUUAAUCGGAUUUACUGGGCGUAAAGCGUGCGUAGGUGGCUGUUUAAGUCGGAUGUGAAAGCCCUGGGCUUAACCUGGGAACUGCAUUCGAUACUGGAUAGCUAGAGAUCGGUAGAGGGCAGCGGAAUUCCGGGUGUAGCGGUGAAAUGCGUAGAUAUCCGGAGGAACACCGAUGGCGAAGGCAACUGCCUGGGCCUGAUCUGACACUGAGGCACGAAAGCGUGGGUAGCAAACAGGAUUAGAUACCCGAGUAGUCCCUGUCUCUUAUAC